AGAUCACAGAUGUCUAGUUUAUGACUUACUGAGGAUUAAACAUUUGAGAAACAUUAAACUUCCAGAGAAAGACCAGCAUUAUAAUAAAGUUAAAUGAGAUAACUAUUAUAUAAUACAACUACUGUUCAAAAGUUUGGAGUUGCUUCGCCCCCUUUCCUUGUUUCCUCGCUGACCACAAUGCACUGCAGCUCAGGGUCGCUUAUGGAGGGGCCGAA